CUUGACUAAUUAUAAGAGGUUUAGCCUGCCCAGUGACACAUGUUCAACGGCCGCGGUAUCCUAACCGUGCGAAGGUAGCGUAAUCACUUGUUCUUUAAAUGAGGACUAGUAUGAAAGGCACCACGAAGGUUAUACUGUCUCCUUUUUCUAAUCAGUAAAACUAAUCUCCCCGUGAAGAAGCGAGGAUAAAUUUAUAAGACGAGAAGACCCUAUGGAGCUUUAAACUAACCAGCAUUUGCUAUAUAAAAUUUUUAACUUUAAAGAUAAUCUAGCCCUCUGACUGGUAAUUUUCGAUUGGGGUGAUCACGGAACAAAAAUAACCUCCGUGUCGAAAGGGCUUACCUGAGCUAAAAGCGACAGCUUUCCGCACUAAAAAAUUAACGUUUAUUGACCCAAUAUUUUGAUCAACGAAC
rnacentral:rRNA from 1 species